rnacentral:rRNA from 1 species
UACAGAGGUCUCAACCGUUGUUCGGAUUCAUUGGGCGUAAAGGGUGCGUAGGCGGUCGGGUAAGUCGGAUGUGAAAUCUCAGGGCUCAACCCUGAAACUGCAUUCGAUACUGCUUGGCUAGGGUACUGGAGAGGAGACUGGAAUUUACGGUGUAGCAGUGAAAUGCGCAGAUAUCAGGAGGAACACCGGUGGCGAAGGCGGGUCUCUGGGCCGAAAUUGACGCUGAGGAGCGAAAGCGUGGGGAGCAAACAGG